GCGGCAGUAGCUCAAUUGGUAGAGUAUUAGCCUUCCAAGCUAAGGGUUGCGAGUUCGAAGCUCGUCUGCCGCUCCA
rnacentral:tRNA from 1 species